AUCGCUUCCCGGCCUUUUGGCUAAGAUCAAGUGUAGUAUCUGUUCUUAUCAGUUUAAUAUCUGAUACGUCCUCUUUCCGAGGACAAUUUUUUGUUUGGGCUUCCUUGGUAGCUCAGAGGUUAAAGCGUCUGCCUCCAAUGCGGAAAACCCGGGUUCGAUCCUGGGGUCGGGAAGAUCCCCUAGAGAAGGAAAUGGCAA
rnacentral:snRNA from 1 species